rnacentral:lncRNA from 1 species
CCACCCACAGCAACAAGUGGGCCAAAGCACUAGCACAGAGACUGGAAAAGAAAAUGGAGACAGGGGAACAGGAAGAGAAGAGGAAGCAAAACAAGAUGGUGGGAGCUAGGGUUUUCUCUAGAAAGAGGGCUGGGAAGCUCAAAACUCCAUUUUGAGGUUGAAUCUCACAACAGCUGCGUCCUGACUCCCUGUAUGAUCCUGUAAUGACUCAGGCUCAUUGUUCAGAAAUGUAGACAUCAGUGCAUUGGAUCAACCGAGGCUGGCUUCGUCAAAAGAUGAUGAAAACAGGGCUCUGGGAGGACAAUCAGCCUGAGAUCACACAACCAGUAAGAUUUCUCUUCUCCCUGGCCUGGCAGUUGUUCAGGCUGGAUACCUGGUUUGGGUCAUAGAAGCUUGGGCCAGGAUAAGGUGCCUUUCCUGGCGCAGACGGGAGCUAUUGGAGCCAAAAGGUGAGUUUCACCUGAAGCCCUGACAAGGUGCCAAGUAUCAAAGCCAGAAAAACCCAGACCAAGGUGAAGUCCAAAGGGGAGAGGAUCCAGGAGGGGCACCAAAGCUCAGGACAUGGGUGGAGCUGAAAGGGAAGGGAAAGGAAGCAAACUUAAGUCUGGGUUGGUUGCCCUGGAUGAAGCAGAGAGCUCCAAGGCUAUCCUUCAGCUGUAGUCAGCUUUGAGGGGCACUGGGAAGCAACCUGGCUUGAAGGCGCAUAGUCAGAGCAGACAGGCUCAUCUUAGGGCUCCCUUCCUGGGAACAGCAACGUUCCUGGGCACCACUUGGCAUCUUCAGGUCCACCCCAUUAUUGAUCCAG